rnacentral:rRNA from 1 species
UACGGGGGGGGCAAGCGUUGUUCGGAAUCACUGGGCUUAAAGGGCGCGUAGGCGGCCUGCCAAGUCAGGAGUGAAAUCUUUCGGCUCAACCGGAAAAGUGCUUUUGAUACUGGCGGGCUAGAGGGAGAUAGGGGCAUGUGGAACUUCCGGUGGAGCGGUGAAAUGCGUUGAUAUCGGAAGGAACGCCGGUGGCGAAAGCGACGUGCUGGACCUCUUCUGACGCUGAGGCGCGAAAGCCAGGGGAGCGAACGGG